UAGCGGGGGAUAACUACUCAAAAGCGUAUCUAAUACCGCAUACGCCCUACGGAGGGCAAAGCAUGGGGCAUCGCAAGACCUUGCACUAUUGGAGCGGCCGAUAUCGGAUUAGCUAGUUGGUGGGGUAACGGCUCACCGAGGCAACGAUCCGUAGCUGGUUUGAUAGGACGACCGUCCACUCUGGGACUGAGACACGGCCCAUACUCCUACGGGAGGCAGCACUGGGGAAUUUUGGACAAUGGGGGAAACCCUGAUCCAGCCAUCCCGCGUGUGCGAUGAAGGCCUUCAGGUUGUAAAGCACUUUUGGCAGGAAAGAAACGUCGCGGGUUAAUACCCCACGAAACUGACGGUACCUGCAAAAUAAGCACCGGCUAACUACGUGCCAGCAGCCGCGGUAAUACGUAGGGUGCAAGCGUUAAUCGGAAUUACUGCGCGUAUAGCGUGCGCAGGCGGUUCGGAAAGAAAGAUGUGAAAUCCCAGAGCUUAACUUUGGAACUGCAUUUUUAACUACCGGGCUAUAGUGUGUCAGAGGGAGGUGGAAAUUCCGCGUGUAACACUGAAAUGCGUAGAUAUGCCGAGGAACACCUAUGGCGAAAGCAACCUCCGGGGAUACCCCGACCCUCAUGCACGAAAGCCUGUGGUAGCCAACAGGGAUUAAAUCCCCUCUGUAGGCCACACCCCCAAACGAUGUCCGCUAUUUGUUGGGCCCUCGGGUGUUGGGUACCCCCCGAAAACGCGAAGGGCGCCCUAGAGGAAGAC
rnacentral:rRNA from 1 species